UACGAGGGGGGCGAGCGUUGUUCGGAAUUAUUGGGCGUAAAGGGUGCGUAGGCGGCCUGACAAGUCUGAUGUGAAAUCCCUGGGCUCAACCCAGGGCCUGCAUCGGAAACUGUCGGGCUUGAGUAUGGGAGAGGUGAGUGGAAUUUCCGGUGUAGCGGUGAAAUGCGUAGAUAUCGGAAGGAACACCUGUGGCGAAAAGCGGCUCACUGGACCAUUGCUGACGCUCAGGCACGAAAGCGUGGGGAGCAAAAGGG
rnacentral:rRNA from 1 species